AUGCCAACCAUCCGUGAAGCUGCAGAAAAACGGGGGCUCAUUGAGGCUGACACAUUGGAUGAUUGCAUGACAUAAGCGGAGUUGUUUCGAAUGCCAUCAUCGCUACGAAGGCUAUUUGCGAUAAUCCUAGUGUUUUGCGAGCCCAGCAACAUCCGUAGCCUCUGGAACAAACACCUCGAGUCAAUGUCAUAAGACUAUAGCAGAAACUGCAAAUGCAAGCACACGGUCGAACAGAUGUUGCUUAGAAAUAUCAGAGACAUGUUGCACUCAAUGGGAAAAGACAUAAAAUCAUUUCCUCUUCCAUAGAUCGAGAAACAACAUGAGACGGCAGACGACGUACCUAGGGAGAUCAUCGAGGAGACCUCUAUCGAGGUGGACCCGGAAGACACAUCUUUACAUAGAAACCUAAACAACGAGCAGAGAAAGGCCUAUGAUGAAAUCCUACAUGCAAUUGACCGCCAAAGAGGAGGCAUAUUCUUUGUCGAUGGACCGGGAGGCACAGGGCACUCUUAG
rnacentral:rRNA from 1 species